rnacentral:misc_RNA from 1 species
AGUCGUAACAAGGUUUCCGUAGGUGAACCUGCGGAAGGAUCAUUAACAAAUGUAAAAAGAACUCGACCGGUGAGGGCUUUGAUGCAUGACGCUUGUCGCCACGUUGCGGCACGCGCGCGGUUCCCCUGAAGAGUUCUUAUCCACAUAAACAUACACCUGUGCACCUAGCGCGAGCGCCGCCCCAUUCGGAGCCGUCCUGGCGUAACCUCCGUUUGUAUCGGGGGGGCUGGACCGGGGCGCUCCCUCUUUUACCAUAUUUAAUCCUGUCAAACCGCAUGUCUUUGAGCGCUCCAUGGAGCGCUCUGAAAAAAGUACAA